rnacentral:rRNA from 1 species
CACGUAGGAGGCGAACGUUAUCCGGAUUUAUUGGGCGUAAAGCGCGUGUAGGUGGUUCUGUAAGUAGGGCGUGAAAGCUCCCGGCUCAACUGGGAGAGGUCGUUCUAUACUGCAGAGCUAGAGGAUGGUAGAGGGAGGUGGAAUUCCAGGUGUAGCGGUGGAAUGCGCAGAUAUCUGGAGGAACACCAGUGGCGAAGGCGGCCUCCUGGACCAUUCCUGACACUCAGACGCGAAAGCUAGGGUAGCAAACGGGAUUAGAUACCCGCGUA